UGCUCCAAGAGUUUAUAUAUGUGUUGCUGCAGUUGAAAAGCUCGUAGUUGGGGUUUCGGAUGCCUGGCGGGUCUCGGUUCCGGCGGUUUGGGAUUUUUUCUCGGCGCCGGUUAAACACACGCACCCGCGUGUGGCCACCCCCAGGCCCUUUUUUUGUUCAGGCGAGGUGAGUCCCCUCACCCCGCAUCUGAGCGCGUUACUUUGAGUAAAUCUGAGUGUUCAAAGCAGACGAGUUUCAGUCGUCUUGAAAGUUGUAGCAUGGAAUAACGUGAUAGGACUCCGGUGGCCCUUUUCAGUUGGUCUAAGCCGUUCCGGAGUAAUGACUAAGAGGGACAGUCGGGGGCACUCGUACUUCCUUGUCAGAGGUGAAAUUCUUGGAUUUAGGAAAGACGAACCACUGCGAAAGCAUUUGCCAAGGAUGUUUUCA
rnacentral:rRNA from 1 species